rnacentral:lncRNA from 1 species
CUUGUGCCCGCUUUUAAAUUUAGAUGCUAAAUGCGAACAAAAAUAAGCUGUUCAUACCAUGUUUGCAUAGUGCUUGGCAGUGGCAUCCCUCUAAACAAGUUAUGACUAUCUUAAAACGGCUCAAAAAGGACCCGGAACAAACGUUGAAUUGUCAACAUUGUAAAACCUUUAACUAAUUAAGGAUCAGACUGCAGGAACCAGAACAAUUUAAAUUUACCAAUUUUAUUGUAAUGUUCCAAGCUUUUAUGAAAAAACUCAAAAUGGUCCUGCAAAUGAAUAUUGUUGCAGAACAAUGGGAGAUUAAGGAGAAAAAGUCUAAACUUCAACUCUUCCCAUCUCUAGAAAGAAGGUGAAUACAGUUAAAGAAGAUAUAUGGAGGAGUGUUUAUUUGAUAAAACCAAUCUUGAGACCUGAUAUAAGAGUAAACCAACCUGCAGAUCCAAGAUUUAUUAACGUGGAUACUGAGAGACAAGAACCAAACCUAUAGUCCAAGAUAUGUGAAACUUAGAAGAUUGUGAUAAGGCUCACCCCUGAUCCCAACUAGAACCUGUACCAGAGCGGAACCUGUCCUGAAAGUAACCUUAGAACCAGAGCCCCAGUGUUAACUCUACCUGGAGCUGAACCUGAGAUUAUCCAACCCUGAUUUAUACCUGAAAAUAAACCUUAUCCGGAGUAGGAUUUGGACCUAUUGUUGGAGUAGAACCUGAACCUGGAGUUAGCUUAAAGCUAUACCUGGAGCUAAACCACUUAAAACUAAUCCAAGAUCUAAACCAACAUCAGAUCUUAAUAAGGUUAGAAGGAGUCCAAUUUACUAAAAAGAAAUUUUUGAUAGAGUUUAAAGAUUACUAAAGAGAAACUGUUUAGGAUUAAUUCUGUACGAAACUCCUAAGAUGUAAAGAUAACCCUGAGCAAAGCAAUCCUGAAAUCUUCAAGCUAUUCAAAACCAUCGGAGAAUAAUUUGGCAAGAAUAAGCAAGAUCUAAGAAGAGCAUUAAAACACCUCAAAGAUCGCAUCAGAGUAAGUUUUAGAAAUAUAAAAGCUUGGAACAAAAUUUUAAU